rnacentral:tRNA from 1 species
GCCCGUCUAGCUCAGUCGGUAGAGCGCAAGGCUCUUAACCUUGUGGUCCUGGGGUCAAGCCCCAGGUCGGUCG